AUUGAACGCUGGCGGCAUGCUUUACACAUGCAAGUCGAACGGUAACAGGUUAAGCUGACGAGUGGCGAACGGGUGAGUAAUGCAUCGGAACGUGCCCGAUCGUGGGGGAUAACGCAGCGAAAGCUGCGCUAAUACCGCAUACGAUCUGAGGAUGAAAGCGGGGGACCGUAAGGCCUCGCGCGAUCGGAGCGGCCGAUGUCAGAUUAGGUAGUUGGUGGGGUAAAGGCUCACCAAGCCGACGAUCUGUAGCUGGUUUGAGAGGACGACCAGCCACACUGGGACUGAGACGCGGCCCAGACUCCUACGGGAGGCAGCAGUGUGGAAUUGUGGAAAAUGGGCGAAAGCCUGAUCCAGCAAUGCCGCGUGCAGGAAGAAGGCCUUCGGGUUGUAAACUGCUUUUGUACGGAGCGAAAAGGCUCUCUCUAAUACAGGGGGCUCAUGACGGUACCGUAAGAAUAAGCACCGGCUAACUACGUGCCAGCAGCCGCCGUAA
rnacentral:rRNA from 1 species